UUUUACAUCCUGGGUAGACUUAAAUCACCAGAUUCCUUCUGAUUUUGGAAGCUAAGCAGGGUCAGGUCUACUUAGUACUUGGAUGGGAAACCAUUGAUGAAUACCAGAUCAUGUAGACU
rnacentral:rRNA from 1 species